rnacentral:lncRNA from 1 species
UCCAAAUGAGCAUAUAUUUGUAAUUAGCCUCUGCUCCAUUCCAGGUUAAAACUAUAAUACGGUAUACUAAUACAACACAACGCCAUUCCUUUCCAUCAUCUCACCAACAGUCGAUGACAAAAGGAUGACAAGUUAAAACUCGUACAGCACAACACGGGUACUGAACUACUGAUCCAUUUCGAUACAUGCUUAUGUAGCUAAAGAGAAACAGGCCUAUGUAGCUACUGCUGGUUCGCAGCGUUGCAUGGUCACCAUCUUCACUUCGGCUCUUCACUUCGGCAAAGCUUUUUACGCACUUGGACAAGCACCAGGCCACGCUCUUACUGAAGCUGCUUCCGAUGCUCCCUGUAACCCAUUUGUCCCAACAAAUAUCAGUCUGGCCUUUGUUCGCUCCUCCUGCAACACACAUUUUCGUUUAGUAGUUCGAAUUCUGUCAGAGCAACAACCACACUCUGCUAGUUCAGAACCUCAGAUCGACCGGCGUUUUUCAACACAAGCUUAGUUAUAUUAUCCAGUAUCAAGAUAGGUGGUUAAGUGUUUGAACAGGCAUAAUAAACAAGUUAUAAGCAAGUUGGAAACGAUCAGCACAUUACAUAACAAAAAGGCUGAAGUGAUUGGCAUUUGAUUUUCCUAGGCAUUAAGCACAGAAAUAAACAAGUUAAAGGCUGUUCUCAUGCAAAUCCAGCUACUAUGCGGCAUAAUAUACUGGAAUCACAUUCAAUGAAACAAGGCAUACUGAUUCUCAUUAUCUCAUAGAUUAAGACCUAUGUAACCCAGCAGUUGCAAUUGCAACUCAUGGAAAUAAACACACCACGGCAGCCAUGGACCAAGUUGGUUUACGGGCUUCAUGUUCCUGCAGCGUUUAGAAAUGCGAAUUUAGAAAUCAGUGUCUAAAACCAGUUGGGCGCCAACCAAACCUCAGGAAUUGCAGACGUGUGAUGAAGAAAUCUGACAAAAUCCCCAUCAGGAGGAGAUGAGGAACUACCUGUGGUGAGUGAAUCCCUCGUGGUGAGGAGGGGCGGCCGCCGCUGCUGCCGGUUCGCAUGGGUUAAGUGAGUUGGUCGGCCGGAAGGAGGCAGCAGGGCGCCUGUGCCCGCUCUACGCCGCGCCUCGCCACCUGCACAUCUCGGCACUGUGUAGCCAGAUCGGGCGCUUUUCCCAGCAGCGCCGCAUGCGGCCGCCUCGCCCACUACCCGAUGGAGGGACUCUAUAUUGAGGGAUCAAGAUGCACUAGAGGUAAAGGCCCUCGGGUGGGUAUGCGUUCGAUGUUGGAGCUUGGCAGCGAGGAGGAAGCGCGUACGAGCGGAGGAGCC